UACGUAGGGGCCGAGCGUUGUCCGGAGUUACUGGGCGUAAAGCGCGCGCAGGCGGCUGGUCUUGCCCGGCGUGAAAGCCCCCGGCUCAACCGGGGAGGGUCGUCGGGGACGGGCCAGCUUGAGGACGGCAGGGGCAGGUGGAAUUCCCGGUGUAGUGGUGAAAUGCGUAGAGAUCGGGAGGAACACCCCGUGGCGAAGGCGGCCUGCUGGGCCGAUCCUGACGCUGAGGCGCGAAGGCGUGGGGAGCGAACGGG
rnacentral:rRNA from 1 species